rnacentral:ncRNA from 3 species
CCACAGGGAUAACUGGCUU